GGACCCGCACAAGUAGUGGAGCAUGUGGUUUAAUUCGAAGAUACGCGCAGAACCUUACCAACACUUGACAUGUUCGUCGCGACUUUAAGAGAUUAAAGUUUUCGGUUCGGCCGGACGAAACACAGGUGCUGCAUGGCUGUCGUCAGCUCGUGUCGUGAGAUGUUGGGUUAAGUCCCGCAACGAGCGCAACCCUCACUUUUAGUUGCCAUCAUUUAGUUGGGCACUCUGAAAGAACUGCCAGUGAUAAGCUGGAGGAAGGUGGGGAUGACGUCAAGUCCUCAUGGCCCUUACGUGUUGGGCUACACACGUGCUACAAUGGUAUUUACAACAGAAGCAAGACGGCGACGUUAAGCAAAUCCUUAAAAAAUACCUCAGUUCGGAUUGUCGUCUGCAACUCGACGGCAUGAAGUCGGAAUCGCUAGUAAUCG
rnacentral:rRNA from 1 species